UACGUAGGGUGCGAGCGUUGUCCGGAAUUAUUGGGCGUAAAGAGCUCGUAGGCGGUGUGUCGCGUCGGCCGUGAAAACCUGGGGCUUAACUCUGGGCGUGCGGUCGAUACGGGCAUCACUAGAGUUCGGCAAGGGAGACUGGAAUUCCUGGUGUAGCGGUGAAAUGCGCAGAUAUCAGGAGGAACACCGGUGGCGAAGGCGGGUCUCUGGGCCGAUACUGACGCUGAGGAGCGAAAGCAUGGGUAGCGAACAGG
rnacentral:rRNA from 1 species